GGAGACUAUGGUCAGCGAUCUGAGCGCCAAGGCUAAGAACAUAACGGAGUCGGUGACAAAGGAGGGUGAGAUCUCAGUGUACAUCUGUUAACCUGGCCCUCAACCAUGAAAAGGACCAGUGAGAAACACGUCGUGUGUGUGUGUGUGUGUGUGUGUGUGUGUGUGUGUGUGUGUGUGUGUGUGUGUGUGUGUGUGUGUGUGUGUGAUUGAAAGAGUGACUAAGUGAGAGUAUGUGUGGGUUUGUUGUUUUCUGCUUCUGUCUUGCCCUCCCUUCCAUUUCCGUGACGAGUGAGGCUGAGCCCCCGCGCCACGUGGUGAACUGAAGCUUAACUCUCGUGAAAACAUUCAAAGCUUGUCUGUGCGUCACCAUUAGUUUACGGCCAUCGGUACUGCCAAGACAAUCUGAAAAACUGUGACCUUUUUAUGUGACAUCCAUUUCUAUGUUUGACAUACCGUGUUGAUGGCAGACAUUACGUUUGUGUGCCUGUAAGCUCUCAGCAGUCAAUGUUAUUGUGUCUAUCGAAGCCAUUUGUGACAGAAAACAGCACAGGUUACAAAGCAGGUUGUUUUUUAAUUACCGAUAACAACGAUUGUUAGCAUUGUUAAUCAAAACUGGAACUUGUCAUUAAUGUGUUCUUGCUCUCUAAAGCUCUACUCCUUUAUUUGCUAAUACGUGUUUAAAGUCUGCGUGAGCUAAUGGGAGGUUUUCAAUCUUAACUAUUGCCUUUGAUAUGUCUUAAUUUAUCUUCUCACUAUGAUGAAAUAAUAAAACUGGAACCUUAAUGAA